rnacentral:lncRNA from 1 species
GAAAAUAGUUGCAAGGCAGGCGAAGGCGGGAGGUCGUUCCGGCUGCGGAGCCCGAGCCUGAACUCGGUGCGGCUGCGGCGCAUCUUCGACAUCUUCGACAAGAACAACGACAGCAUCAUCACGGUGGAUGAGCUGGGUCAGGCCCUGGCCCUGCUGGGGCUCAGACGGACCAGGCCCAGCUGGACUCGAUGGUGAAGAGCUACAUCCAGCCGGGCAACUCCGGGCUGAGCUUCGACGACUUCCAGGCCCUCCACCGCUCCCUCGACGACGCCUUCUUCGGGCUGGCCGACGAGUCCGCGCAGCUCGACGACAAGCAGGA